ACGGGAGGCAGCAGUGGGGAAUAUUGCACAAUGGGGGAAACCCUGAUGCAGCGACGCCGCGUGAGUGAAGAAGUAUUUCGGUACGUAAAGCUCUAUCAGCAGGGAAGAUAAUGACGGUACCUGACUAAGAAGCCCCGGCUAACUACGUGCCAGCAGCCGCGGUAAUACGUAGGGGGCAAGCGUUAUCCGGAUUUACUGGGUGUAAAGGGAGCGUAGACGGUCUGGCAAGUCUGAAGUGAAAUGCCGGGGCUCAACCCCGGAACUGCUUUGGAAACUGUUGGGCUGGAGUGCAGGAGAGGUAAGCGGAAUUCCUAGUGUAGCGGUGAAAUGCGUAGAUAUUAGGAGGAACACCAGAGGCGAAGGCGGCUUACUGGACUGUAACUGACGUUGAGGCUCGAAAGCGUGGGGAGCAAACAGGAUUAGAUACCCUGGUA
rnacentral:rRNA from 1 species